CCUACGGGGGGCAGCAGUGAGGAAUAUUGGUCAAUGGACGAGAGUCUGAACCAGCCAAGUAGCGUGAAGGAUGACUGCCCUAUGGGUUGUAAACUUCUUUUAUAUGGGAAUAAAAUGUUCCACGUGUGGGAGUUUGUAUGUACCAUAUGAAUAAGGAUCGGCUAACUCCGUGCCAGCAGCCGCGGUAAUACGGAGGAUCCGAGCGUUAUCCGGAUUUAUUGGGUUUAAAGGGAGCGUAGGUGGAUUGUUAAGUCAGUUGUGAAAGUUUGGGGCUCAACCGUAAAAUUGCAGUUGAAACUGGCAGUCUUGAGUACAGGAGAGGUAGGCGGAAUGCGUGGUGUAGCGGUGAAAUGCUUAGAUAUCACGAAGAACUCCGAUUGCGAAGGCAGCUCACUGGACUGCAACUGACACUGAGGCACGAAAGUGUGGGUAUCAAACAGGAUUAGAUACCCUUGUAGUC
rnacentral:rRNA from 1 species